AGUGAACGCUGGCGGCAGGCCUAACACAUGCAAGUCGAGCGGAUGAAGGGAGAGUGCUCGUGGAUUCAGCGGCGGACGGGUGAGUAAUGCCUAGGAAUCUGCCUGGUAGUGGGGGAUAACGUCCGGAAACGGGCGCUAAUACCGCAUACGUGCUGAGGGAGAAAGUGUGAGAUCUUCGGACCUCACGCUAUCAGAUGAGCCUAGGUCGGAUUAGCUAGUUGGUGGGGUAAAGGCCUACCAAGGCGACGAUCCGUAACUGGUCUGAGAGGAUGAUCAGUCACACUGGAACUGAGACACGGUCCAGACUCCUACGGGAGGCAGCAGUGGGGAAUAUUGGACAAUGGGCGAAAGCCUGAUCCAGCCAUGCCGCGUGUGUGAAGAAGGUCUUCGGAUUGUAAAGCACUUUAAGUUGGGAGGAAGGGCAGUAAGUUAAUACCUUGCUGUUUUGACGUUACCAACAGAAUAAGCACCGGCUAACUUCGUG
rnacentral:rRNA from 1 species